rnacentral:tRNA from 1 species
AGUUUUAUAAUCUAAGAAAGAAAGAUUUAAAAUUGCAAAUUUUAAAAUAUAAUAUUAUUAUUAUUAAGACUU